rnacentral:rRNA from 1 species
CCUACGGGCGGCAGCAGUGGGGAAUAUUGCACAAUGGGCGCAAGCCUGAUGCAGCCAUGCCGCGUGUGUGAAGAAGGCCUUCGGGUCGUAAAGCACUUUCAGCGGGGAGGAAGGCGGUGAGGUUAAUACCCUCAUCGAUUGACGUUACCCGCAGAAGAAGCACCGGCUAACUCCGUGCCAGCAGCCGCGGUAAUACGGAGGGUGCAAGCGUUAAUCGGAAUUACUGGGCGUAAAGCGCACGCAGGCGGUCUGUCAAGUCGGAUGUGAAAUCCCCGGGCUCAACCGGGGAACUGCAUUCGAAACUGGCAGGCUAGAGUCUUGUAGAGGGGGGUAGAAGUCCAGGUGUAGCGGUGAAAGGCGUAGAGAUCUGGAGGAAUACCGGUGGCGAAGGCGGCCCCCUGGACAAAGACUGACGCUCGGGUGCGAAAGCGUGGGGAGCAAACAGGAUUAGAUACCCUAGUAGUC